rnacentral:rRNA from 1 species
GAGUUUGAUCCUGGCUCAGAUUGAACGCUGGCGGCAUGCCUUACACAUGCAAGUCGAACGGCAGCACGGGAGCUUGCUCCUGGUGGCGAGUGGCGAACGGGUGAGUAAUGCAUCGGAACGUAUCCUGGAGUGGGGGAUAACGUAGCGAAAGUUACGCUAAUACCGCAUAUUCUGUGAGCAGGAAAGCGGGGGACCUUCGGGCCUCGCGCUCUUGGAGCGGCCGAUGUCGGAUUAGCUAGUUGGUGAGGUAAAGGCUCACCAAGGCGACGAUCCGUAGCAGGUCUGAGAGGAUGAUCUGCCACACUGGAACUGAGACACGGUCCAGACUCCUACGGGAGGCAGCAGUGGGAAUUUGGACAAUGGGGCAACCCUGAUCCAGCCAUGCCGACGUGAGUGAAGAAGGCC